ensembl:snoRNA SNORD115 Small nucleolar RNA SNORD115
GUGUCAAUGUUUAGAAUUUAUAUGGCCUGAAGAAAGAUGAUGACCUAAAAAUCAUUCUCAAAAAGAUUAUGCAGAGACCC